UCCAAGGCAUUGGGACCAUGGGUGCCGGA
rnacentral:piRNA from 1 species